rnacentral:rRNA from 1 species
CCUACGGGAGGCAGCAGUGGGGAAUUUUGGACAAUGGGCGCAAGCCUGAUCCAGCCAUGCCGCGUGUGGGAAGAAGGCCUUCGGGUUGUAAACCACUUUUGUCAGGGAAGAAACGGUCUUUUCUAAUACAGAGGGCUAAUGACGGUACCUGAAGAAUAAGCACCGGCUAACUACGUGCCAGCAGCCGCGGUAAUACGUAGGGUGCAAGCGUUAAUCGGAAUUACUGGGCGUAAAGCGUGCGCAGGCGGCUUUGCAAGACAGGUGUGAAAUCCCCGGGCUCAACCUGGGAACUGCAUUUGUGACUGCAUGGCUAGAGUACGGUAGAGGGGGAUGGAAUUCCGCGUGUAGCAGUGAAAUGCGUAGAUAUGCGGAGGAACACCGAUGGCGAAGGCAAUCCCCUGGACCUGUACUGACGCUCAUGCACGAAAGCGUGGGGAGCAAACAGGAUUAGAUACCCUGGUAGUCCACGCCCUAAACGAUGUCAACUGGUUGUUGGACGGCUUGCUGUUCAGUAACGAAGCUAACGCGUGAAGUUGACCGCCUGGGGAGUAACGGCCGCAAGGUUGAAACGUUAAAGGAAUUGACGGCUUGAGACGNGCGAGGACGACGACGAGGGAGGAGG